rnacentral:lncRNA from 1 species
AGCAAAAGAUAAAGUAACACUGUUAAGAUAAAAUUGCACUGUUUUAAAAGAACGUUACACUAUUAUGGACGUAAGUUGCACUAUUUGAGAUGUACCUUUUAAUAUGAAAGUUACACUCUUUAAAUGAAAAUUGCAUUCUUUGGGAGAUAUUUAUACUGUUUCUCUUCUUAUUGCACUCUUUGAGAUGCAAAUUGCGUACUUUAAGAUAAAAGUUACACUCUUUAAACAAAAAUUAUAUUCUUUGAGAGAUAUUUAUACUAUUUCUCCUCUUAAAGGGUACAAUUUAUAUCUCAAAGAGUGCAACAAGAGGAGAAACAGUAUAAAUAUUUCUCAAAUAUGCAACUUUCAUUUAAAGAGUAUAACUUUCAUCUUAAAGGAUACAGUUUAUAUUUCAAAAAGUACAACUUUCGUCCAUAAUAGUACAACGUUCUUUUAAAACAGUAUAAUUUAAUCUUAACAGUGCAACUUUAUCUUCUUCUUCCUUUUUCUCUGAUUUUCUUCAUUAUUCUCUAGCUUUGGCCUUUUUUUUGUUUUAA